GCCUGCGCAUGAAAAGAUUGGUGUUGUCGAUUCCCAAUGGAUUGUGCAUCAAGUGAUUCCAUCACUUGGAAGUCAGGGCGAAUCUGAUAAUGGAAAAGCUCCAUGGCAGGGGGUACGAGAUAGAUGCAAAAGUGAGUGGGCGCUCUUUCAGGAUCGCCUUGCAAAUGCAGACAAGUCAUAUUUUUCACAAAUCCAGCGCCCUUGACUAAGAGCAGAUAUCAUGUAAAUUGCUUUGUUUAUUUCUUCGUUUGUCCUCACAUUCCCUGGGAAUGGUUUUGGUGGCUCGAUUGUUUCAUGCGAGUUACAUCCUUCUAUAGUGUAGGAUAUCCUGUAUAAUGAGUAGCAUUGACAUGAUUAGAUUCUUAGAAAGAAAACUUUAAUUGUUUGUGCAGAAGUAGAAGUAGGUUGUAUCAGUUUGGUGUACACUAAUGGACAUCACUAUAUAGUUGUUUUUUUG